rnacentral:sRNA from 1 species
ACACGGAAGGGAGGUGGUCCAGGAAUUGAAUUCUCAUUGGACGCGUGAGGUGACUGCGCGCUAGCGCACCUCGACUGCUCGAGGACGCGCCUCGGCGCAAUCCCCAGCAGCUCACCGCAGCCCGCGGGUCGUGCAGGUCGUCCCCUGCACUCGUCGCCGACCACUCGGUCGACAGGCCCGCGGGCUGUUCCCU